rnacentral:rRNA from 1 species
UACGUAGGGGGCAAGCGUUGUCCGGAUUUAUUGGGCGUAAAGCGCGUGUAGGCGGCUUUGCAAGUCGGGUGUGAAAGCCCUCGGCUCAACCGAGGAAGUGCGCCCGAAACUGCAGAGCUUGAGUACCGGAGAGGGUGGCGGAAUUCCCCAAGUAGAGGUGAAAUUCGUAGAUAUGGGGAGGAACACCGGUGGCGAAGGCGGCCCCCUGGACGGAUACUGACGCUGAGACGCGAAAGCGUGGGGAGCAAACAGG